rnacentral:rRNA from 1 species
AACCAGCACCUCAAGUGGUCAGGAUGAUUAUUGGGCCUAAAGCAUCCGUAGCCGGCUCUGUAAGUUUUCGGUUAAAUCUGUACGCUUAACGUACAGGCUGCCGGGAAUACUGCAGAGCUAGGUAGUGGGAGAGGUAGACGGUACUCGGUAGGAAGGGGUAAAAUCCUUUGAUCUAUUGAUGACCACCUGUGGCGAAGGCGGUCUACCAGAACACGUACGACGGUGAGGGAUGAAAGCUGGGGGAGCAAACCGGAUUAGAUACCCGGGUAGUCCCAGCUGUAAACUAUGCAAACUCAGUGAUGCAUUGGCUUGUGGCCAAUGCAGUGCUGCAGGGAAGCCGUUAAGUUUGCCGCCUGGGAAGUACGUACGCAAGUAUGAAACUUAAAGGAAUUGGCGGGGGAGCACCACAAGGGGUGAAGCCUGCGGUUCAAUUGGAGUCAACGCCAGAAAUCUUACCCGGAGAGACAGCAGAAUGAAGGUCAAGCUGAAGACUUUACCAGACAAGCUGAGAGGUGGUGCAUGGCCGUCGCCAGCUCGUGCCGUGAGAUGUCCUGUUAAGUCAGGUAACGAGCGAGAUCCCUGCCUCUAGUUGCCACCAUUACUCUCAGGAGUAGUGGGGCGAAUUAGCGGGACCGCCGCAGUUAAUGCGGAGGAAGGAAGGGGCCACGGCAGGUCAGUAUGCCCCGAAACUCUGGGGCCACACGCGGGCUGCAAUGGUAACGACAAUGGGUUUCGAAUUCGAAAGGAUGAGGUAAUCCUCAGACGUUACCACAGUUAUGACUGAGGGCUGCAACUCGCCCUCACGAAUAUGGAAUCCCUAGUAACUGCGUGUCACUAUCGCGCGGUGAAUACGUCCCUGCUCCU